rnacentral:rRNA from 1 species
GGGUGAGUAACGCGUAGGCAACCUGCCCCAUACAGAGGGAUAGCCUCGGGAAACCGGGAUUAAAACCUCAUAAUGCGAGAGGUUCACAUGGAUCUUUCGCCAAAGAUUUAUCGGUAUGGGAUGGGCCUGCGUCUGAUUAGCUAGUUGGUGGGGUAACGGCCUACCAAGGCGGCGAUCAGUAGCCGACCUGAGAGGGUAAUCGGCCACAUUGGAACUGAGACACGGUCCAAACUCCUACGGGAGGCAGCAGUGGGGAAUAUUGCACAAUGGGCGAAAGCCUGAUGCAGCAACGCCGCGUGAGCGAUGAAGGCCUUUGGGUCGUAAAGCUCUGUCCUUGGGGAAGAAACAAAUGACGGUACCCUUGGAGGAAGCCCCGGCUAACUACGUGCCAGCAGCCGCGGUAAUACGUAGGGGGCAAGCGUUAUCCGGAAUUAUUGGGCGUAAAGAGUGCGUAGGUGGUUUUGUAAGCGCGGGGUGAAAGGCAAUAGCUUAACUAUUGUAAGCCUUGCGAACUGUAAGACUUGAGUGCAGGAGAGGAAAGCGGAAUUCCUAGUGUAGCGGUGAAAUGCGUAGAUAUUAGGAGGAACACCAGUGGCGAAGGCGGCUUUCUGGACUGUAACUGACACUGAGGCACGAAAGCGUGGGGAGCAAACAGGAUUAGAUACCCUGGUAGUCCACGCCGUAACGAUGAGCACUAGGUGUCGGGGCCGCAAGGUUUCGGUGCCGCAGUUAACGCAUUAAGUGCUCCGCCUGGGGAGUACGCACGCAAGGUUGAAACUCAAAGGAAUUGAC